rnacentral:rRNA from 1 species
AUACGUAGGGGGCGAGCGUUGUCCGGAAUGAUUGGGCGUAAAGGGCGCGUAGGCGACCCGGUAAGUCUGGAGUGAAAGUCCUGUUUUUAAGAUGGGAAUUGCUUUGGAUACUGUCGGGCUUGAGUGCAGGAGAGGUAAGUGGAAUUACCAGUGUAGCGGUGAAAUGCGUAGAGAUUGGGAGGAACACCAGUGGCGAAGGCGACUUACUGGACUGUAACUGACGCUGAGGCGCGAAAGUGUGGGGAGCAAACAGGAUUAGAUACCCUGGUAGUCCACACUGUAAACGAUGAAUGCUAGGUGUAGGGGGUAUCGACCCCUUCUGUGCCGCAGUCAACACAAUAAGCAUUCCGCCUGGGGAGUACGGCCGCAAGGUUGAAACUCAAAUGAAUUGACGGGG